rnacentral:misc_RNA from 1 species
UCUCCGUAGGUGAACCUGCGGAGGGAUCAUUACAGAGUUUUUGCCCGCAAGGGUAGAUCUCCCACCCUAUGUUAUUCCUUCUCUGUUGCUUUGGCGGGCCGUCCGGCCUCGGUCAGGCCACCGGCUCCGGCUGGUGCGCGCCCGCCAGAGGACCCAAACCCUAAAUGUCAGUGUCGUCUGAGUACUAUAUAAUAGUUAAAACUUUCAACAACGGAUCUCUUGGUUCUGGCAUCGACGAAGAACGCAGC